CAGCUGAGAUACUUCAGAAGCAGAUUUCCAAGGUUUGACCAAAAUGCUCCAACUUUCUCAUCAGAAGAUGAUCUUAGUGUCAAACUGUGGGAUGAAAGGUGGUGGGUGAUAUGCAUUCCUUCAAGGAAUGCUAGGCCUUGAAUUGAUUGUGUUUUUGUGUCUCUGACAUCCAGUAAAACUAAUUCUGUCCACUUCAAUCAUUUAAUUCAGAUUUCAGUUUGAACCUUCAGCUCACAGAAUUUAUUCUUUAUUCAGGUUGGUGGAGUGCAGUUUGUCAGAGAUCAGCUGUUCUCUGGUCUCAGCUCUGAAAUCCAACCCCUCCCAUCUGACUGAACUGGACCUAAGCUACAACAACCUGUAUAACUCUGGAGUGAAGGAUCUGUGUGGUUUCCUGGAGAGUCCAAACUGUAGACUGGAGGUUCUGAGAUUGGUGCACUGCAGAUUGUCAAAGAUCAGCUGUUCUUCUCUGGGCUCAGCUCUGAAGUCCAACCCCUCCCAUCUGAAAGAACUGGACCUGAGUCAGAACAACCUUCAGGCUCCAGGUGUUCAGCAGCUGUUGGAUCUUGUGAAGAGUCCAGACUACAAACUUCAGACUCUGAGAAGACUUCUCUGAUGUGAGGCUGCUUUCUUUGAUUGGUCUGAACUCUUCAUGUCGUCACAUUUUCUUUGAAUCCACAUCAAUCAGAAAGAAACAAAAGUUAGAAGUUCUUCUCCCAAAUCCUCCACAUGGUUCAGACACCAUGAAGUUUGUGUUUAAAGGACAAGCUUGGAGGAAGGUUUCUGCUUCAGCUCUCUAAACGUGUCUCCCUCCUCUUCCUCUCUUCUUCCUCACAUCACUGACACACAGAGUGUUCAGGGACAGCCUCCAUGUUUGUUAGUCAGCUGAGAUUUCACAGUUUGUGUCUUUAAAUGGAGCUGCAGUUGACAUGGAACAGCAGGAAAUCCAUCCUUCCAGUGUUUGUGCAGUAAUGAUGACUCAGCACUUUGUUUUCUCUGUGGACUUGAGUGAAGCUGCAGAGGAAACAGACUUGAUGCUGAAAGUCUCUGCAGGCGUGUGAGCUUCGCUCCACAGCUGAAGUCCUGCUGCUCUUUCUACUGGAUGAUGCUGCAGACAGGAAGUCAGGCUGC